CUGCUACAGUUUUUGAAAAUCUCAUUGUUCACUGAUUUAAAAGUUUUCACUUUUAAUUCGACUGUAAAAUUUCUUUCAUUUUGUCGUUCUCGUGUAACCGUGUUCGCCUAAGUCCAAAAUGUAAACAAACGUUUUGGUGAUUCCGGUGAGUGGAGGUCCACAACGACUAUCAAAACCGAACGCGGCCGCUGCCAGGACUUGGACGCGGAAACCUUCGAAAGAGGAUGGUGCGGGCUCGGGUGCGGGUGCGGAACAAGGUUGGGAGAAUAGGGGAAAGUUGGUUUUCAAAAGGAUAAGGCCAUGGCUGCAGCUUCCUGCAGGACCUGCAGCUGUUUCACGACCGAAAUGGGACGCCGUUUAUGUGGUUGCCGAAGAUCGGAGGUCGGGAUGUGGAUUUGCAACGGUUGUAUUCGGUGGUGGUGGCCCGGGGUGGGUAGACGAGAUUGACGUUGAAGCAGAUUUACAUCCGCUUUUUGAACAAGUACGAAAAAGUUAAUUUUCACGGUGAGGAGAAGGAUCCGACGGAAGAGGGAAACGACGAGUAGCGGCAUAAUCGGAGGUGGUCAGCGCGGAUGUUGCUCUCGGUGCCGGCGGUUUACGACCAUCAGCAGCAUUAUGUGCCAGAAGUGAUGACGAGACAGUGUGGGAUGUCCCGAGGGUCCGCAGUCCAUUUCUCGUUGCGGGACGAGUAUUACCUAAACAUCCGGAAGAACAGUUUGCACCAGUUCUGGAAGGACCGUCUGUACGAAAGCCGCAGGUCCUGGAGCUGUCGUACUCAGAUUACUUCCAGAGGUUGGAGCGAGAUCCAACGAAUCGAUCAAAAACAUCUACCUGGAAUACCGAAGAAGUUACAGGUGAGUAUUGAGAAUGUGUUCAGUGUCUAGCCAAUUUCAUUUACUUUAAAACUCUUUCAGCAACUCCCGCCCGCAAACGCUCAUCUCGCAACGGCGCAGCUUCGGCUGGAUGAACUUUAACGAGUUGGCAAUAUCUGUAUCAUUCUCGAAGGAGGACGAAGUGAUCGUGAACUAUCCGUUCAUGCGCUUCACUUCCUAGCCGGAAAACGUCGACUUCCCUUCCCGAAUCAACAACCAAUGGCCAACUCCUCCAAGCCUGUCCUGAUGAUGGCCGGCAACGAGACCACCCUGUUCUCUACAUCGCUGUCGCGCUCAAAAAUAAAGAACGCGAUGUUGCUCCCCAACGAAACAUCCAUCCGUAACCUGCUCAGCCUGGGGCCUUCGAACGUGACCGGUGGCGUACCGUAAGAAUCGGUACAGCUUGGACGCGGAAGUUGGCCAGCCAUAAGCAGAUCCGUUAAAUACAAAAAAAAAACGAAAACAUACUGUUUUAAUAUUAAAAUAUUGAAAUAAAAUCCAUCACAUGUUUCGAAAAUCAUCACUGUAAUGUUAAAUGUUAUUUAUUCUUGCCAUAAAAAGUUUUUUCUUAUAUUAAAAGUAAAAAACUUUUACCUAUACAACGAUUUUGUUCCAGAAAUGCAUGGUAGUAUCAACAACUUUUUAACUUUUAAAUUAAAAAGUUUGAACUUUCUACGAAUAUUCACCAACGCGAACUUUUAAUCCAACGAACGAUCUUUUUAAAUUUAGAGUAUUUUUUCUUUGUGU